GACGAACGCUGGCGGCGUGCUUAACACAUGCAAGUCGAACGCUGAAGCUCAGCUUGCUGGGUGGAUGAGUGGCGAACGGGUGAGUAACACGUGAGUAACCUGCCCUCUUCUUUGGGAUAACGCCCGGAAACGGGUGCUAAUACUGGAUAUUCACUGAUUCUCGCAUGGGGGUUGGUGGAAAGGUUUUUUCUGGUGGGGGAUGGGCUCGCGGCCUAUCAGCUUGUUGGUGGGGUGAUGGCCUACCAAGGCUUUGACGGGUAGCCGGCCUGCGAGGGUGACCGGGCAAAUUGGGACUGAGCUACGGCCCAGACUGCUACGGGAGGCAGCAAUGGGGAAUAUUGCACAAUGGGCGAAAGCCUGAAGCCGCGACGACGCGUGAGGGAUGGAGGACUUCGGGUUGUAAACCUCUUUCGCUCAUGGUCAAGCCGCAGCUUUGGGUUGUGGUGAGGGUAGUGGGUAAAGAAGCGCCGGCUAACUACGUG
rnacentral:rRNA from 1 species